rnacentral:rRNA from 1 species
AGGCGGCCGCGAAUUCACUAGUGAUCCUACGGGAGGCAGCAGUGGGGAAUAUUGGACAAUGGGCGAAAGCCUGAUCCAGCAAUGCCGCGUGAGCGAUGAAGGCCUUAGGGUUGUAAAGCUCUUUUACCCGGGAUGAUAAUGACAGUACCGGGAGAAUAAGCUCCGGCUAACUCCGUG